AUUUUUAGUGCAAUUAUAAAUAGAAUUGUUUUCUUAAUUUCUCAUUCUGCCACUUCAUUAUUACUGUGUAAAUGCACUGGAUUCCUGUUGUGUGAGUUCUUAUUGAAUUCAUUUAUUCAUAAAAGGCAGAUUUUCCUUGUGUACUGUGGUGUCUGAUGCAACGUAUCCUGAACAAACUAGCAAUUCGCUAGUUUACUCUAAUGACUAAACAUGGUCUGGUGUGUGUGGUCUUUCUCAUCUUCUUCCAGUAUCUUUAAGGAUGAAUCCUAAGACUUGGACGCUUGUAAUAAAGGAAUUUUCUUUUAACCCCAGGUGUCUCUGGAUUGGUGACAUACACAUAUUUGUCAACAUUUCCAGUAGGUGGAGAGGCAGGUGUUUGAGUUCUGUUGUGUACAGCUUUGAACUAAGACUGAGUUCCUUUCUGGGUGCCUCCUUCUGAAAGCUCUUAUGAACACACACCAGUGGAGGACGAUGAGCCAAAGAAAAGCACCAGUUCAGCUUCUACUUCAGAAGAAGAAAAGAAGAAGAAGAAGUCUAAUCAUUCAAAAGAGAGGUCCAAGAAAAAGAGAAAGAAGAAAUCCUCUAAAAGAAAACACAAGAAGUACUCUGGUGACAGCGACAGUGACUCUGACUCUGACUCAGACUCCAGUGGUAAGAAGGCCGGCAUCGCUCUGCAAGCCUGGCUUCAAAACUCG